UUGUCGGCCUCACCGAUAUCACGGCUGUGGAGCAUGAAUGGACACAUGCUCACAUGCCAGAUUGCGCAGAUAAAAGAAUAUGACAUUCAGUUUCAUUGUAAGAUGUUCACAUGCAUUGGCAAGUGGCAAUUGAAAUCGGUGGUUGAUCCUGUUGCAGAGUCUGCUGGAGCCUGCUGCCGCACACACCAUGAAGAACCUACUCCUGGAGGAGGCGACAUAUCCGUGUUGUACACCUAGCCGUACCAGAUAUAUGAACGUGCUACUGCUGUUAAUGGCUAGGGUGAACAGGUCACUGUCUCACCAUGGUACUCUCAUUCCCCAUGAAUUUGUCGCGCUCGGGUUGUACUUUGGGGUGAAACCAUCAAGAGCCCAGCCCACAGAAAAGGUGCAUGCCGAGGAGAGGUAUCACCACUAUGAGGUUAGGGAGCUGUUGGGGGCCUGUAUUGACUGUCGCUGGCUCCGCUCCGCCAUGCCGAUUCCAGUGAUUGGAUUGCCUGCCAAACACUCCAUAUAAUUUCCCAACCAAGGUGAUUGGAUUGCCUGCCAAACACUCCAUAUAAUUUCCCACCAAGGAGCCUAACGCAGGAGAAUUGAGUUGCGGAUAAUGUUGAGACACCAUGCUUUGCAAAUUAAAAGAUGGGAGCUUGCUAUAUGAUCAGAGACAACAAUUAGAUUACGAGAGUAAAAAUUAUCGUAUUUCAUGGAUCUAGGGUAUUCACUUGAGUAUGUAACCAUUUUUUAAAUCUGCUCUACGGACAUGGUUUUUACCAUUUUUUAAAUCUGACAUGGUUUUUAAGGUAACUGGUUCUUUUUGCAAAUAUAUAGCAAUGCAAAUUAGCCU